UGAAAUGCAAUGACGGGGAGGAGUACAUAGAUACCGGAAGCUAAGAGAGAAGACGGGUGGUGUAAGUUUUCAUGAAGGGUUUAUGGAAGUAGCCUCUGAGCAGUGAACCGAAAAGAUGAAUGGCUGAUAGUGCUUUUGAAAGAAAGCAUCUAUAGUUACAUGAUCUGAGUAGACUUCAACGUCUGUCCCGACGUUACAAGGGAGCAAUAUCGGAUAAUCGUUAUGGUUUCCCGUAUUGACAUGAGUGCAGAGAGAAUUCUCUGAAUUUAGGUGGUAACACGGAUGGUAUAUUCGCCCUAAGC
rnacentral:ncRNA from 1 species